rnacentral:rRNA from 1 species
AUAAGCUGCGAAUGGCUCAUUAAAUCAGUUAUCGUUUAUUUGAUAGUACCUUACUACUUGGAUAACCGUGGUAAUUCUAGAGCUAAUACAUGCUGAACAUCCCGACUUACGGAAGGGACGUAUUUAUUAGAUUAAAAACCAAUGCCCCUCGGGGCUCCUUUGGUGAUUCAUGAUAACUUCACGAAUCGCACGGCCUUGCGCCGGCGAUGGUUCAUUCAAAUUUCUGCCCUAUCAACUUUCGAUGGCUCGGUCUUGGCCAGCCAUGGUGACAACGGGUAACGGAGGGUUAGGGCUCGACCCCGGAGAGGGAGCCUGAGAAACGGCUACCACAUCCAAGGAAGGCAGCAGGCGCGCAAAUUACCCAAUCCCGACUCGGGGAGGUAGUGACAAUAAAUACUGAUACAGGGCUCUUUUGGGUCUUGUAAUUGGAAUGAGUACAAUUUAAAUCCCUUAACGAGGAACAAUUGGAGGGCAAGUCUGGUGCCAGCAGCCGCGGUAAUUCCAGCUCCAAUAGCGUAUAUUAAAGUUGUUGCAGUUAAAAAGCUCGUAGUUGAACCUUGGGCCUGGCCGGCCGGUCCGCCUCACCGCGUGCACUGGUUCGGCCGGGCCUUUCCUCCUGGGGAACCGCAUGCCCUUCACUGGGCGUGCCGGGGAACCAGGACUUUUACUUUGAAAAAAUUAGAGUGUUCAAAGCAGGCCUAUGCUCGAAUACAUUAGCAUGGAAUAAUAGAAUAGGACGCGCGGUUCUAUUUUGUUGGUUUCUAGGACCGCCGUAAUGAUUAAUAGGGACAGUCGGGGGCAUCCGUAUUCAGUGGUCAGAGGUGAAAUUCUUGGAUCCACUGAAGACGAACUACUGCGAAAGCAUUUGCCAAGGAUGUUUUCAUUAAUCAGGAACGAAAGUUGGGGGAUCAAAGACGAUCAGAUACCGUCUUAUUCCUAACCCUAAACUAUGCCCACUAAGGGCGGGGCGGUGUUAUUUCUUGCCUCGGCCCCCUUGCGCCAAAAUUAUAAAUUUUUUUGGUUUUUGGGGGGAUAUUGUUCCCAAGGCUGAAACUUAAGAUAGUAUAAAAAAAAGAACAACCCGGGGGCCGUAUUAUAUUAUUAUUGACGCCGGGGGAGC